GAAACGACUGCUAAGACUGGAUAGGAAGAUAAAAGGCAUCUUUUAUCUUUUAAAAGACCUAGUAAUAGGUAUGCUUUAGGAGGGGCUUGCGCCAUAUUAGUUAGUUGGUAGGGUAAUGGCCUACCAAGACGAUGAUGUGUAGCUGGACUGAGAGGUUGAACAGCCACAUUGGGACUGAGACACGGCCCAAACUCCUACGGGAGGCAGCAGUAGGGAAUUUUCGGCAAUGGAGGAAACUCUGACCGAGCAACGCCGCGUGAAUGACGAAGUACUUCGGUAUGUAAAGUUCUUUUAUCAAGGAAGAAAAGCAAAUGGCGAACCAUUUGUUUGCCGGUACUUGAUGAAUAAGCCCCGGCUAAUUAUGUGCCAGCAGCCGCGGUAAGACAUAAGGGGCAAGUGUUAUCCGGAAUUAUUGGGCGUAAAGGGUGCGUAGGCGGUCUAGUAAGUCAGUGGUGUAAUGGCAACGCUUAACGUUGUCCGGCUAUUGAAACUGCUAAACUUGAGUUAGAUAGAGGCGAGUGGAAUUCCAUGUGUAGCGGUAAAAUGCGUAAAUAUAUGGAGGAACACCAGAGGCGUAGGCGGCUCGCUGGGUCUUAACUGACGCUGAGGCACGAAAGCGUGGGGAGCAAACAGGAUUAGAUACCCUGGUAGUCCACGCCGUAAACGAUGAGUACUAAGUGUCGGGUUAAACCGGUACUGAAGUUAACACAUUAAGUACUCCGCCUGAGUAGUACGUACGCAAGUAUGAAACUUAAAGGAAUUGACGGGACUCCGCACAAGCGGUGGAUCAUGUUGUUUAAUUCGAAGAUACCCGAAAAACCUUACCAGGUCUUGGCAUGUUUUUGCAAAAUGAUAGUAAUAUCGUGGAGGUUACCAGAAACACAGGUGGUGCAUGGUUGUCGUCAGCUCGUGUCGUGAGAUGUAAGGUUAAGUCCUAAAACGAGCGAAACCCUUAUCGUUAGUUGCCAGCACGUUAUGGUGGGGACUUUAACGAGACUGCCAAUGAUAAAUUGGAGGAAGGUGAGGAUCACGUCAAAUCAGCAUGCCCCUUAUGACCUGGGCUACAAACGUGAUACAAUAGCUGUUACAAAGGGUAGCUGAAACGCAAGUUCUUGGCCAAUCCCCAAAAACAGUCCCAGUCCGGAUUGAAGUCUGCAACUCGACUUCAUGAAGUUGGAAUCGCUAGUAAUCGCGAAUCAGCAUGUCGCGGUGAAUACGUUCACGGGGUUUGUACACACCGCCCGUCA
rnacentral:rRNA from 1 species